GGUUGUUGUUGUUUGUGGGAACGAGCACACAGCACAGCACAAAGCUAUUUUCAAAUUGGAAAGGUUUUGCACUUCGCCAACGCAGUAGUUUCUUCUGUAUCUCACUUCUUGUUUGUUUUGUUGUUGUUGCGCUUUGUUUUGCGGCUUUGCUGCCAACUUCUUUCUCGUUAGUUUGCUAUUUUAACUAUUAUAUCAAUUAGUUUCAGCAUUUGACGUCUGCCAGCUUUUCAACUCAUUGUGGAAUGGGAAACUUCCAAGUGCCGUUGCAAUUCACUGCGCUUGACGCGUUGCUUUCUCGUCUCGGUCUCGGGGUUGAAAAUGCGCUACGUAUAAAGAAGACUCCGACUUGAGUGCGUUGGCAUUUCAGUAGCGUGAAGGCAGCAGCAAUAAGUGAAGUGGGAAAGGGAGGGCAAGGGAACAGGGCGUAACUCGACGUCAGGGUUGAAAGGUGUUCCCGGUUUACUGAAAAAUACGAAAUACUCAAAAGAAAUUGUAAACGCAGGCAGGUGUUAUAGAUAUAGUUUUAGAGUUCAAACAUAAAUGCACAGAACUGAACAUGCAAGAUCAGUAAGCAGUAAGCACACAUACAUAUCUAAACACACCCUAUACACCCGCAGGCGCCAGACAGCGA